GCAACACAGGGAGGGAUUGAUAGUACGACAGGUGAUUGACAAUUUUCUGUGCCCUACACAUUUUUUAAUCCAGAGUUACCGUUUUGCUAAGAGGAAUAUGUUAGUUUAUAUGGUGACUUUGCUCUUUUUGCUCUUGAAACAACAUGUUGUAAUAUAAAUAUUGUGAACUCAUAUGAAUAUUACUUUUACUCUUUUUAAGCAUAAUCAAAAAUGAUGAGAAUGGAUUGAGUACUAGACGGUUUGCUGUUGUUUCAUGAAAAGGUCACAGUUUAGCCACAUUGCUGAAUUUGAUCCUUUUGGAUGGGCUGCCAUGGCCGUGAAAAGGCCAGCCAAGUUGCGAGUUAUUCGUGCAGUGAUAAAGGACAAAAUGGACAAGACUUUUUCACUACGAAGACAGGACGUUGUGGGAAAGGAAUCAGGAGUGGAAGAGUUGAAAGAUAGAUGGCCUUAAUUUCAG